GUGGCAGGCCGCUUUAUCGUUCCCGUCCGUCAUCUGACGGAUUGGGAGAGGAAAGUCCGGGCAACGCAGGGUACCGUGCUUCUUAACGGGAAGAUCUUUGAAAGGGGAUAGCAACGUAACAGAAAAUAACCAUCCCGAACUGACGUGUCGGAUUGGGGAACGGGUGAAAAGGUGCGGUAAAAGCGCACCGGUAGUUGUGGUAACACAGUUAGCCGUACGUCUCACGAGUUGCAAAGCCAAAUAUAUCCUGAUUGUUUGCCGCUGUUGCGGUACAGCAAAGCUGCUCGCUUUGUUUCUUUCUCGCACAAAGUUGUCAGGAGGGGUAGGCUGCAAGGAUCAAAGCAGUAAUGUUUUGACUAGAUAAAUGAUAAAGGUUCUUCGUCUAAUUGAUGGAGAAAACAGAACCCGGCUUACAGGUCUGCCAUUUUU
rnacentral:RNase_P_RNA from 1 species